AGCUCUAAGCGAGGUAAUGUAAUCUUCUUCAGUAGAGCAACUCGUGACUUAGAGGCCACAAAACUGGUAACAGUCUCUCCUUGUUUGUUUUGUCCUUGUAGAUACGCCGCAGCACUGUAAGCCUUUUCAGUUGCAUCACAGUAGACAUGCAACCGGGGUGGAUCUUCUGGU